rnacentral:tRNA from 5 species
GGGCGCUUGGCGCAGUGGCUAGCGCGCCUGCUUUACACGCAGGAGGUCAGAGGUUCAAAUCCUCUAGCGCCCA